rnacentral:rRNA from 1 species
UGGGGAAUUUUGGACAAUGGGGGCAACCCUGAUCCAGCCAUGCCGCGUGCGGGAAGAAGGCCUUCGGGUUGUAAACCGCUUUUAGCCGGGAAGAAAAGGCGAGGGAUAACACCCUUCGUUCUUGACGGUACCGGCGGAAUAAGCACCGGCUAACUACGUGCCAGCAGCCGCGGUAAUACGUAGGGUGCGAGCGUUAAUCGGAAUUACUGGGCGUAAAGCGUGCGCAGGCGGUUCGUUAAGUUCGUUGUGAAAGCCCCGGGCUCAACCUGGGAACGGCAAUGGAAACUGGCGGGCUUGAAUGCGGCAGAGGGGGGUGGAAUUCCGCGUGUAGCAGUGAAAUGCGUAGAGAUGCGGAGGAACACCGAUGGCGAAGGCAGCCCCCUGGGCCGACAUUGACGCUCAGGCACGAAAGCGUGGGGAGCAAACAGG